GUAAGGAAUAUUGGUCAAUGGACGCAAGUCUGAACCAGCCAUGCCGCGUGGAGGAUGAAGGUCCUCUGGAUUGUAAACUUCUUUUAUAUGGGACGAAAAAGGGUCUUUCUAGAUCAACUGACGGUACCAUAUGAAUAAGCACCGGCUAACUCCGUGCCAGCAGCCGCGGUAAUACGGAGGGUGCAAGCGUUAUCCGGAUUCACUGGGUUUAAAGGGUGCGUAGGUGGGUCUGUAAGUCUGUGGUGAAAUCUCUGAGCUUAACUCGGAAACUGCCAUGGAUACUAUAGAUCUUGAAUACCGUGGAGGAUAGCGGAAUAUGUCAUGUAGCGGUGAAAUGCUUAGAUAUGACAUAGAACACCAAUUGCGAAGGCAGCUGUCUACCCGAAUAUUGACACUGAGGCACGAAAGCGUGGGGAUCAAACAGGAUUAGAAACCCGUGUAGUCC
rnacentral:rRNA from 1 species